rfam:Capsicum annuum cultivar Zunla-1 chromosome 11, whole genome shotgun sequence
GUUUCUUCUGGGACGUCUGAUAAAAUUGGAAUGAUACAGAGAAGAUUAGUAUAACUCUUGCGUAAGCAAUGACAUGCACAAAUUGAGAAAUGGUCCAGAUUUUA